AGAGUUUGAUCAUGGCUCAGGAUGAACGCUGGCGGCGUGCUUAAUACAUGCAAGUCGAGCGGUAAGGUUCUGCACUUAGUAUUUGACCAGAUAAGUCCAUGCAAAUGGAUACUAUCUGAAGCAAGGCAUCUCCAAGGCUGGAGGUUCCGAGUCGAAUGUUAAGUGUAGAAUACACGAGCGGCGGACGGGUGAGUAACGCGUAAGAAUGUACCCCCAAAGUGAGGGAUAAUUCCGGGAAACCGGGACUAAUACCGCAUGUGCUCUUCGGAGUAAAGCUUUAUGCGCUUUGGGAACAGCUUGCGUCUGAUUAGCUAGUUGGUAAGGUAACGGCUUACCAAGGCGACGAUCAGUAGCUGGUCUGAGAGGAUGACCAGCCACACUGGGACUGAGACACGGCCCAGACUCCUACGGGAGGCAGCAGUAGGGAAUUUUCCACAAUGGGCGAGAGCCUGAUGGAGCAACGCCGCGUGCAGGAUGAAGGCCUUAGGGUCGUAAACUGCUUUUGUCUGUGACGAAUAUGACGGUAACAGACGAAUAAGGGUCGGCUAACUACGUGCCAGCAGCCGCGGUCAUACGUAGGACCCAAGCGUUAUCCGGAUUUACUGGGCGUAAAGAGUUGCGUAGGUGGUCUGUUAAGUAAAUAGUGAAAUCGUGUGGCUCAACCAUGCAUCCAUUAUUUAAACUGGCAGACUUGAGAGUGAGAGAGGUAGAUGGAAUUGCUAGUGUAGGAGUGGAAUCCGUAGAUAUUAGCAGGAACACCGAUGGCGUAGGCAGUCUACUGGCUCAUUUCUGACACUAAGGCACGAAAGCGUGGGGAGCAAACAGGAUUAGAUACCCUAGUAGUCC
rnacentral:rRNA from 1 species